AACCUAGCACACCUGCGGUGUGUACCUGCGGAGGGAUCAUUACAAGUGACCCCGGUCUAACCACCGGGAUGUUCAUAACCCUUUGUUGUCCGACUCUGUUGCCUCCGGGGCGACCCUGCCUUCGGGCGGGGGCUUCGGGUGGACACUUCAAACUCUUGCGUAACUUUGCAGUCUGAGUAAACUUAAUUAAUAAAUUAAAACUUUUAACAAUGGAUCU
rnacentral:misc_RNA from 1 species